UCCGGGGCUCUCUGGCUUCCGCAGCCUGGGCUCUGGAGGGCUGCGGGGUCGGCUGGUGGGGUCUGGGCCGGUCGCCGUCGGGAACUGAUAGGGCCCCAGAAAGGCCAGGGUUGGGCCUCACUGCUCCCCACGUCUCUGACUCGCUUCUUCCACCUCUGACUCGGUCGAGACUCCGGAGUCAGAAGAGGUGGGGGCCGCGGGGGUCCAGGCAGCCCGACCCGCGGUGAGUCGCCGCGCCGCUCCCUCGAGACGGGCUGGGGUGGUCCCAGGCUGGGCGGCAGGGACUCCCCCAACUUGCCGGGCCCCUACCUCGAGACGGGCUGGCCUGGUUCCCAGGCUGGGCGGCAGGGACUCCCCCAAGGUGGGACCCUCAGCGCGUCCUCUGGCCAAGGAGCGAUGAACAAGAGGCAGAAAACUGACCCCGCAGCCCUUAAGUGCCUCAGGUGCAGCCCUAACACCGCUAAGGACCGAGUCACAAGGCCCCAGCGAGAAGACCCCUGACCCGAAGGCUUCGGCUACCGCACAUUGCCAUCCCCUGGACCGAUGUGUCUCAAAGAGGGACUUCGUUUCCGUUAGUUCUUAGGAAACCGGCGUCGCCAUGAUUCCGAAAGCUGGACGCGUCUCGCUCAGGCUACUCCUUUGAAAAGACAAACAAAGAGACUCCAGGAGGAGCGGCUGCUUUUUCUCAGGCUGUCUCGAGGGUCAGGGCCUUGGAUACCCAACCCAGCUCUCCUUGCCCCACUGGAACUUCUAGUGGAGCCAUGGAUAGUGGACAGAGGACUCUCCCAGGAUUCCUGCCCAGGGAUGUAAGAAAUUGAAGGCUGAAUACUGAGCUGGUGGCAAAGAGCCGUGGAAGGCGGGGCUUCUGCGUGGUUAUCAACAGUAGACAAGCAUCGGGACUUUCACGUGGGGAACCCACUCCCAUCGACUGUUGACCUUAGUGACUCUUGGACUCUUGGCUGGAGGAGACGAAUUAAUUCUAGGAUUUGAGAGCGUAAGGUAACUGUGAGCUAGCUAAUUUGUGCUAGUUAUUUUACUAUUGGUGACCCUACAAACGAGUUCAUAAAAUGCCCUAGGUGUUCCAGUUAACGCCUCCUGGACUCCCUCUCCCUUUACCUUUCAUUCUCAUCUGACUAUGAGGAAGUGGAACCAGCUGGAGCCCUUCAUGCGGCAUGGGGUGGCCACACUUUGGGCGUCUCCCAGAGGAAGGGCAUGUCCAUAGAGAACCUAGAUUCUCCUACUCCUCUGGUCUUUUCCCACUCAGAAAGCUCAGUAACAGCUCAGAUCCCCUAAUAGGGACAUCCAAGACGGCUGUCCAGCCCAGCCUUUGCCACCUCGUAGCACAGAGCAUAAGGUACCAUCCAGCAAGCUGGGGUAGCUGAAGUAGGAGAGGGCCUGGGUAGGAGGGAAGCCAAUCACUACACACCUGUAACCAUUCCCAGCCACCCUGGGUGAGCAGCUCCGCACGGAGAGGCCUCCUCUAUGCCCCCCCCCCCCCUUUUUCUGGGUAUUACAGGCUGGACUGCAGCCCAUGACGCAGAACCUUGAAUACACUGUCUGUUGGCUCUACUUUUAAUUAAAAUACUAACAU